AGUUUAACUGUCAACUCUGAUCAAAUUAUCCACAUUGUAUUUCAAAAUAUCAAAUCCAUCUGAUGGAUUACCCUGAUCAAGGUUUUGCUAAAUUGAAAUACAGUGGCUCAUUCUUCUCCAACUCUUGGAGUGGUCAAUCCCAUCUCGAUCACACUCUGACUUCACAAGUACUUGACUGUGCCUAGAAGCCUUCCAUCACUAAAUUAAAAAUUUAGUUGGUUCAGUACCAAAGCACAGUGAGUUGCUUGUAAGUCACUGAGGCGAUCUCAGGUCUAAGGGACACUUAUACCUAUAUCCCAUC
rnacentral:lncRNA from 1 species